AUUGAACGCUGGCGGCAGGCCUAACACAUGCAAGUCGAGCGGGGUUUUCGGACCUAGCGGCGGACGGGUGAGUAAUGCGUAGGAAGCUACCCGAUAGAGGGGGAUACCAGUUGGAAACGACUGUUAAUACCGCAUAAUGUCUACGGACCAAAGUGUGGGACCUUCGGGCCACAUGCUAUCGGAUGCGCCUACGUGGGAUUUGCUAGUUGGUGAGGUAAUGGCUCACCAAGGCGACGAUCCCUAGCUGGUUUGAGAGGAUGAUCAGCCACACUGGAACUGAGACACGGUCCAGAAUCCUACGGGAGGCAGCAGUGGGGAAUAUUGGACAAUGGGCGCAAGCCUGAUCCAGCCAUGCCGCGUGUGUGAAGAAGGCCUUCGGGUUGUAAAGCACUUUCAGUAGGGAGGAAGCGUUGUGUGUUAAUAGUACACAGCGUUGACGUUACCUACAGAAGAAGCACCGGCUAACUCUGUGCCAGCCGCCGCCGUAA
rnacentral:rRNA from 1 species